rnacentral:misc_RNA from 1 species
CGUGGCCCAUACUAUUAACUAGAUCUUUGCGGAUGCAAACGGGGAACAUGUUGAUGCCUUUUAGCAAUUUCAACCGCCAAAGUACAUAUGGGAAACUCAACUGAUCGCGAGAAGUGAAUCGAACCACUUCAUUAAACCAGAGGCACACGAACAGAUUAGUUAAUGGUGUAUGCUCUCUCACAAUGACUGAAGCUUCAUUUAAAGCCUUCUUCCCAUUAAAUCUCUUGUCUUCAGGCAAGCC